rnacentral:tRNA from 1 species
AAGAUUUUAAGUUAAAUAAACUAGUAACCUUCAAAGUUAAUAUUAAUAAUUUAUAUGUUAUUAAAUCUUA